rnacentral:rRNA from 1 species
GCGCGAAAACUUCGCAAUGCGCGAAAGCGCGACGAGGGGAUUCCAAGUGCAUGCACUUAGUGCAUGCUGUUUGCUAGUCUAAAUAGCUAGUAGAGUAAGGGCUGGGUAAGACUGGUGCCAGCCGCCGCGGUAAUACCAGCGGCCCUAGUGGUGAUCGUUAUUAUUGGGCCUAAAGCGUCCGUAGCCGGCCCGGUAAAUCUCUGGGUAAAUCGUUGGGCUUAACUCAGCGAAUUCUAGGGAGACUGCCGGGCUUGGGACCGGGAGAGGUCGGAGGUACUCCGAGGGUAGGGGUGAAAUCCUGUAAUCCUUGGGGGACCACCGGUGGCGAAGGCGUCCGACCAGAACGGGUCCGACGGUAAGGGACGAAGCCCUGGGGCGCGAACCGG